rnacentral:lncRNA from 10 species
UUUAGAAAUAACUGCUAUGAAUUCACUGUUGUGAAUUAAAAGUAUCCAUUCUUUAAAGAGACUUUUAAAGGUCAUCUAAUGAAAUCCUUCAUGAAAUUUUUUGAUGACAGAAAUCUUUCUUCAAAAAAAGCUCCUAACUACUUCUCAGAUACUAUACUCAUUACCUAGGUGACAAAGUAACCUGUACACCAAACCCCCACAAUGCACAAUUUACCCACACACUAAACCUGCACAUGUACUCCCUGAACCUAAACCUAAAAGUUGGAAAGAAAACAAUACAAAAACAAAACAAAAAAAGCUUCAAUGCCUGAAACAAACAAUAUACUUUGGUAGAGUCCCACCAUCCACUGCUUUCCUGAAGGGUCCUGAAAAGCACUGUUUGCAAACCAUGGGUACACUAGACCUCUCUCAUUUUACUGAUUAGGAAAGGAAAUUACUUGGCCAAGAGUUAUUUAAUGAUGGAACUGGGGCUCAACCUACAUUCUCAAAUCUCUUUUUGGCCAAAAAUCUUUCCAUCAUAUUACAUUAUUCUAUUUAAAUGCUAGAUUUGAAAGAGUUCUGGUGAUGCUUCCUAAUUUGUGUUUCCUUUACAGUUCUGAAAUGUUGAGAGAUAUUUGCAAAUCUGAGGCUGGGGAGUAUCUGAGAAGCUGGAGGGAAAAGUUAAAUAACCUCUACCUAUCACCCUGACCCCUAGCACUUCCAAGCAAAGCUGUUUAUAUAAGAACAUUUUAAAAUGAGUUCCCUGUGCAUUUUGUUUCUGCUUCCUUGCCUGUUGGCUUUAGUUGAAAGAAUCUGGAUUGGAAGCCCAGCCAAACACUUUCAUCUGAUCCAAUCACAAUCACAUCGUCAUCUGAUAGAAACGUGGCAUCACCCAAACCUCUAGUCUCUUGUUCACACAUGUGGACUCUAAUCAGCAACGGAAUAAGCUGUAGUGACUACAAGCAAAUAUCUCUGAACUUCACUGAGUUUGAUGACAGUGGUAAUAAAAAUAGUCUUUUCCAUGACGAACACUACCACCAGCAAGCAGCUCCAGAUUUACAUUACACCCUAUCAGCAGCUUUAGCAGUUCCAAUAAAGCUCUGAGUAUGCAUCUCACUGGAACAACUUGGGAUAUGUGUCCAUCACUCUGACCUAUCUCCUUGGACAGGAAAAUGAGAUAUGUUGAUUGGACAAGGCUGGGCUCCAUGUCCACCUCUGGAAUAUUAUUCAAAACACUUGAACUAAAAGCAAGAAAGAAGGUUCUCCAAAGGAAAACUAACCUUGGCUGAGUACAAGUAUAUGCUGUCCUUCCGAGGCCUUCUGCAGCAGGGAAGAUUGGCCCUGCCCCAAUUUCAGAGGAUGAAUCCUGAUUGGUCUAAGAUCACCACACUAGUCCUGUUGCCUUCACAGUGACUAGUGAAGCAUGUGCUUGUGUGAUUUUAGAAGUCAGCUGGGAAGCAACUGGGAAGAAUUUCCUUACUCAAAAAGAAGCACAAGAGAGAGGCCAUCUAGUAUUUCUUAGAGGUUAUCUUAUCUGCAUGUAGCCUGCAAUUGCUAUAACUACCUUGCCACCUUGAAGUAAGCUAGCCUGAAGAUAGCCAAUAUACUGGAUAAAACUUUUGUUUAAAGAUUUAUCUGCUUAAUAUUAUCUCUUCUGAAAGGUAGCUGUACUCCAUAAAUCAGAUUGUGAAUCAGCUUCUUGUUUGAUAAGCGAAGAUAUCAAACAUCAAAUUGGUUGUUGCAAAUCAAAUGUUCACAUCAAUAUGUUUUUUGUUCCACAUCUAAUCAGGAGUGGUGGUAAUCUGUCUAGAAUAAUUUCCAAAGCUGUGUUUAGGUGUGGAUUUAUUUAAUGCAUUUGAGAGCACAAAACUUCUCAGGGUAGAUAUGUAGAACUAAUAACAUAAUUGGAAACUUAUUAAGGAGUGACGUUUUAUUUAGAUAUUCUUUAGUCUACAGAAAAUGAGUGAAUAGAACCACAUAUUACUAAUUUAAAACAAUUAUCCAGCUAAUUUGCUUUUUUGAAUAGUGUGAGUUUAAGUUUUGAUAUUUAUUAGUGUAAUAUCCCUAUGGAACCAUUUAAUCAUAGAAGACUAAUCUUUCCCUACAACAUUCUCUCCUAAAUAAGACUUUCCUGAGAAACAAACUAGAAUAUUUUUAUUCUUGAACCGAGGACUCACUUAUCUUAUCUAGGCUGACUUACUGGAUAAGGCCAUAGCAUCAGUCUAUGUGAAUCACCCAAUUUUCAUAUUAUCCAAAGAUACAUUCUUUUCAACAGUGCAGCCUCUUCAGCAAUCAGUUCCAAAAUAUGUAGGUCAAAGGGGGAACUGAGUGAGAGGAUGCAAUGGCUUAAUUCCAUGUGUAAUCACUCACAGAAAAGUCACACACACACACACACACACACACACAGACAAAAAUGUCCUCUGACAGUUACUGGCAUCAUGUUUAGAUAUGAGAUGGUGUGCUUAGAACACGGCUUCAGAAAUCAAUACAUCAACAAUUAGCUGGGCAUGGGUCAUUGUACCUUAAAAAGAAUAACAAUGGGGUGGCAUUGCCCGAGAAGACCAACUGUCUGGUUACCUGACAGGUGGGCAUUACCUUCAUGACAUCACAGAAGUGAAAGGAAUGAUCCCUGGCUCUAUAAUUUUUUUUCUGGAGACAGAGUCUCACUUUGUCACCCAGGCUGGAGUGCAGUGGCAUAAACAUGACUCACUGCAGACUUGACCUCCUGGACUCAAGUGAUCCUCCCACCUCAGCCCCCCAAGUAGCUGGGACUACAGGUAUGAGCCACCAUGCCUGGCUAAUUUUUGUAUUUUUUGUAGAGACAGGGUUUCACGUGGCUGGCCUGGAACUCCUGGGCUCAAGCAAGCCCCUUCCACCCACUAGUUUUCCAACGUGCUGGGAUUACAAGCAUGAGCCACUAUGCCAGCCUAGAUUUAAAAAUUUGAUCUCCACAGUGCAUCAGAGUUAUCAAGAAGACUACUUCAUGAUAAACACACAGGGGACUGAUAUGUAAAUUAGAAUGCCAUUUAUUCAUUUAAAUAGGAAAUAUGACUGUGACAAAAGAAUGAUCAUUUUGGCAUGUCCCGUGGUCUUAGUUCAUUUCUGCUGCUGCAACAAAAUACCUUAGACUGGGUAGUUUACAAACAGCAGAAAUUUAUUGGUCAUAGCUCUGGAGGCUAGGCAGACCAAGAUCAAGGCACCAGCAGAUUCAGCGUCUGCUUUAUAGAUGGAGCCUCCUUGCUAUGUCCUCACAUGGCAGAAGAGGGCACACAGGCUCCCUCAAGCCUCUUUUAUAAGGGCACUAAUCCCAUUCAUAAUCCCCUCCCACAGGCCCCAACUCUUUAUAACAUCACCUUGGGGAGUUAGGUUUCAAUAUAUGAAUUUCAGGGGAAGGGGACAGAAACACUCAAACCACAGCACCUGUACGUGCCUUGUAGGUAGUUAAUAUUUAAAUCAAAUUAUAACCAGAAGAUUGCUUGGUGAGCAGUAAGAAAUUUGAAUGAAUGGAUUUAUUUUAUAUGAUUCAAAUCUUUGAUGGCCCUGGAUUUUGAUAGCCUAAUUCAGUCAUUUUCAAAAUCUAUUAUUAUUUUAUCAACAAUAGGACAUAUUUUUAGGAUAAAGUCUUACAAAGAACACAUAUACAGGUAUAUAGAUAUAAACAUAUAGAUACCUCGGCCUUCUCUCUCUCUGUUCUGAUUGAACUAAGGUAGCCUAUUCAGAUCCCCACAUGCUCAGCAACCCCAUAUACUGGAGGGAACCAGCAGAGGAUGGGGAGAGGAAUUCCAGUAAUGAGGGAACAUAUGCAGAGAUACAGAAGCAUGACAGAUGGUGGCACAUUCUGGAAACUACAAGUGGUUGGAUAAGAAUGGAAUAUAGUAUUUGUGAGGGGAUGGAGAGAGAGGAGGCGGUAAGAGGUCAGGCUGAAGAAGCAAGCAAGAAAAAAACGAUGAAGGAAAGACUUUGUAGACUUUGCUAAAUUAUUUAGAUCUUAUAUAGAAAGCUAUGGAAAGCCUUAAAAGUAUGUUCAGGGGGCCAUAGCAUGAUCAAAUUUCAGUUUUGGAAAUAUCACUAUGGCUGAAAAAUAGAAAAUUAGGUUAUCAGGAAGGGUACAAUAUAUGCAAGGAAUAUCGAAGGCCUGAAUCCCAUGUUCCUAUUGCCCCACCCUUACCGCUUUACCCCUAGGACUUCACUGCCAUAACCAGUCUUCCAGAUGCCAGCACCUGCAUUGCAUCACCUGAGAGCUAUCUCCUACUGCUGGAGCCCACUUUGUUGGCUGUGGCAGGCUUGAAGUGUCAGAGAAUGAAUGUCCCAGCAACAUCUUCUAUAUCAGUGACAAAGAGACUGGUGUAUAACUCUGGAGCAUGUGUUAGUCCCAGUUGGGAUUAAACUCCAGUGGCCCACGGUGGUAGCCAUCUUGACAACAGAACUUUUGGCUAUUUGCCCUUCCUUGUCUCACUUCCCCACUCUUCUAUCCUUGUGGUUCUCACCUCCCAAAUAAAUUAUUUGCACUCA